UAUAAAUGAAGCUUUCGAUAACCCAUUAGUGUUACGAUUUCUGUUUGUCAAUGUAAUGAAUCAAUGAAGAAAUGGCACUAACGAGACGAUUCUUAGUAUUAUUCAUAUUUUUUUUAAUCCUGUGUUGCCAAAUGAAUAUCAGUGCACGAAAUUACACUUUUACACCUUACAGUUUGGUAAACGUGGGGUGCAAGUCUGGAUAUGUUAAAAUUAGGGGACGAUGCAGACAAAUAUUUUCGUUUAAUAAAUAGAGCUGCUCAAGUAUUUAAGUGUAAUAAUCACACUUUUAGAAUUGUAUGUGUUUUAUAUUGGUAAAAUUAUUUUUAAUAAAGUUUUUUAUAAAA